UACAGAGGGGGCAAGCGUUAUUCGGAAUUAUUGGGCGUAAAGGGCGCGUAGGCGGCUUUGUAAGUUAGAGGUGAAAGCCCGGGGCUCAACCCCGGAACUGCCUUUAAAACUGCAUCGCUUGAAUCCAGGAGAGGUGAGUGGAAUUCCGAGUGUAGAGGUGAAAUUCGUAGAUAUUCGGAAGAACACCAGUGGCGAAGGCGGCUCACUGGACCGGUAUUGACGCUGAGGUGCGAAAGCGUGGGGAGCAAACAGG
rnacentral:rRNA from 1 species